rnacentral:rRNA from 1 species
UAGGUUAACGAGGCGAACCGGGGGAACUGAAACAUCUAAGUACCCCGAGGAAAAGAAAUCAACCGAGAUUCCCCCAGUAGCGGCGAGCGAACGGGGAGCAGCCCAGAGUCUGAAUCAGCUUGUGUGUUAGUGGAACGGUCUGGAAAGUCCGACGGUACAGGGUGAUAGUCCCGUACACCAAAAUGCACAGGCUGUGAACUCGAAGAGUAGGGCGGGACACGUGGUAUCCUGUCUGAAUAUGGGGGGACCAUCCUCCAAGGCUAAAUACUCCUGACUGACCGAUAGUGAACCAGUACCGUGAGGGAAAGGCGAAAAGAACCCCGGCGAGGGGAGUGAAAAAGAACCUGAAACCGUGUACGUACAAGCAGUGGGAGCACCUUCGGGUGUGACUGCGUACCUUUUGUAUAAUGGGUCAGCGACUUAUAUUCUGUAGCAAGGUUAACCGUAUAGGGGAGCCGCAGGGAAACCGAGUCUUAACUGGGCGUUAAGUUGCAGGGUAUAGACCCGAAACCCGGUGAUCUAGCCAUGGGCAGGUUGAAGGUUGGGUAACACUAACUGGAGGACCGAACCGACUAAUGUUGAAAAAUUAGCGGAUGACUUGUGGCUGGGGGUGAAAGGCCAAUCAAACCGGGAGAUAGCUGGUUCUCCCCGAAAGCUAUUUAGGUAGCGCCUCGUGAACUCAUCUUCGGGGGUAGAGCACUGUUUCGGCUAGGGGGUCAUCCCGACUUACCAACCCGAUGCAAACUACGAAUACCGAAGAAUGUUAUCACGGGAGACACACGGCGGGUGCUAACGUCCGUCGUGAAGAGGGAAACAACCCAGACCGCCAGCUAAGGUCCCAAAGUCAUGGUUAAGUGGGAAACGAUGUGGGAAGGCACAGACAGCCAGGAUGUUGGCUUAGAAGCAGCCAUCAUUUAAAGAAAGCGUAAUAGCUCACUGGUCGAGUCGGCCUGCGCGGAAGAUGUAACGGGGCUAAACCAUGCACCGAAGCUGCGGCAGCGACACUAUGUGUUGUUGGGUAGGGGAGCGUUCUGUAAGCCUGCGAAGGUGUGCUGUGAGGCAUGCUGGAGGUAUCAGAAGUGCGAAUGCUGACAUAAGUAACGAUAAAGCGGGUGAAAAGCCCGCUCGCCGGAAGACCAAGGGUUCCUGUCCAACGUUAAUCGGGGCAGGGUGAGUCGACCCCUAAGGCGAGGCCGAAAGGCGUAGUCGAUGGGAAACAGGUUAAUAUUCCUGUACUUGGUGUUACUGCGAAGGGGGGACGGAGAAGGCUAUGUUAGCCGGGCGACGGUUGUCCCGGUUUAAGCAUGUAGGCUGAUUGUCCAGGCAAAUCCGGAUAAUCAAGGCUGAGGUGUGAUGACGAGGCACUACGGUGCUGAAGUAACAAAUGCCCUGCUUCCAGGAAAAGCCUCUAAGCAUCAGGUAACAUUAAAUCGUACCCCAAACCGACACAGGUGGUCAGGUAGAGAAUACCAAGGCGCUUGAGAGAACUCGGGUGAAGGAACUAGGCAAAAUGGUGCCGUAACUUCGGGAGAAGGCACGCUGGUGUGUAGGUGAAGUCCCUG